rnacentral:rRNA from 1 species
GACGAACGCUGGCGGCGCGCCUAAUACAUGCAAGUCGAACGGGCAGGCUUCGGUCUGUCAGUGGCGGACGGGUGAGUAACACGUGGGUGAUCUGCCUUUCGGUGGGGAAUAACUCUGGGAAACCAGAGCUAAUACCGCAUAUGCUUACUAUUUCAUUAUGGUAAGUAAAGAUAUAUUGCCGAAAGAGGAGCCUGCGCCGGAUUAGCUAGUCGGUGGGGUAAUGGCCUACCGAGGCAACGAUCCGUAGCUGGUCUGAGAGGACGACCAGCCACACUGGGACUGAGACACGGCCCAGACUCCUACGGGAGGCAGCAGUAAGGAAUAUUCCACAAUGGCCGCAAGGCUGAUGGAGCGACGCCGCGUGAGCGAAGAAG